rnacentral:tRNA from 1 species
CAACCGGUAGUCUAGCUCGGUCAAGGAUGUGGGCCUUUCGAGCCCGUGACCCGGGUUCAGGGGAGAACCCGCCCAAAAAUCCCGGCCGGGGCACCA